AUUGAACGCUGGCGGCAGGCUAACACAUGCAAGUCGAGCGGAUGAAGGGAGCUUGCUCCUGGAUUCAGCGGCGGACGGGUGAGUAAUGCCUAGGAAUCUGCCUGGUAGUGGGGGAUAACGUCCGGAAACGGGCGCUAAUACCGCAUACGUCCUGAGGGAGAAAGUGGGGGAUCUUCGGACCUCACGCUAUCAGAUGAGCCUAGGUCGGAUUAGCUAGUUGGUGGGGUAAAGGCCUACCAAGGCGACGAUCCGUAACUGGUCUGAGAGGAUGAUCAGUCACACUGGAACUGAGACACGGUCCAGACUCCUACGGGAGGCAGCAGUGGGGAAUAUUGGACAAUGGGCGAAAGCCUGAUCCAGCCAUGCCGCGUGUGUGAAGAAGGUUUCGGAUUGUAAAGCACUUUAAGUUGGGAGGAAGGGCAGUAAGUUAAUACCUUGCUGUUUUGACGUUACCAACAGAAUAAGCACCGUAAUU
rnacentral:rRNA from 1 species